GGAUGUGGGGGCAAUCUGGCUGUGACAUCUGUCACCCCGUUGAUCGCCAGGGUUGGUUCAGCUGAUCUGGCUGGUUAGGCGGGUGUCCCCUUCCUCCCUCACCACCCAUGGUGUCCCUCCCAAAGCUGCGUGAAUACAGGAGGACCAGUCUUGGGUCAAGGGUAUACAAAUAGCUGUGCUCCCCUGCUAGAACCUCCAAAAUAGCUCGCAAAGGGAAGUUUUAACAGUAGCAUGGCAGAGCAGAGGCUGGGUCUCACAUCUUGUCACAUCAGCUGAAAGAUGUCAGCA
rnacentral:snRNA from 1 species